GAUGAUGGCCCGAGUGCCGGUGAAUCAUGGAGCCGGAGGAGGAAGUGGGUUAGUACCGGGACUGCCUCCCUGAGAGGCCGACAGAGCAAGAGUGACGUCACUGCCGGGUGACGCCCGAGCUCCAGCGGCCUCUGUCCCCCUCCUCACCUGCUCUGUCCCCGCAGGCUGCGUUGGGCCCUGGCUCUGAGGACCACAGGCUGAGCGCCGCCUCCAGGCUGCUGGGAAGCGCGGGCACAGAGCGGGGAUGGGGGCCGUGCCCGCCUGGAGCCACCCUCAGCUGUGAGCCUUUGGCACCUGCUCCAGUGAGGUUAAUUCAGGGGGUUCAGGGCGAGUGAGAGGUGACACUGGGAAAUGUAAACUUUAAACUGUAUCAGUGUUUGUAAGUUGGGUUUGGCAUUUAAAAAUUUUACCCAAGGGACUAUACUCAAUAUUUUGUAAUAAUCUAUAAGGGAAAAGAAUCUCAAAAGAAUAUCUAUAGCUAUCUAUCUAUAUCUAUCUAUCUAUCUAUAUAUAUACACAUACCUACAUACGUAUAUAACUGAAUCACUUUGCUGUACACCUGAAGCUAACACAACAUUGUAAAUCAACUAUACUUCAAUUAAAAAAUAAAUAGGGCUUCCCUGGUGGCGCAGUGGUUGAGAGUCCGCCUGCCGAUGCAGGGGACACGGGUUCGUUCCCUGGUCCGGGAAGAUCCCACAUGCCAUGGAGCGGCUGGGCCCGUGAGCCAUGGCCGCUGAGCCUGCGCCUCCGGAGCCUGUGCUUCGCAAUGGGAGAGGCCACAACAGUGAGAAGCCCGCGUACCGCAAAAAGAAAAAAAACAAACCCCAAAACAUUUUAUUUAUUUAAAAAUCCUCAUCCAGUGGAAGUGGCUCUGGCCUCUGAGGCCCUUUGGUAAAGCCACUUCAAAGGUCUAAGCUCCCAGGGCUGGGACAGGGCAGGGGAGGGGCACUGGAGGGGCUGGGCAGCGUCGGGCAGUGUCGUGGGCCCUUAGAAUGAGCUCCCCUUCAGCGAUGGGCCCUGGGCACUUCACUCGCUUGACCCUGGUCCCAGCCCUGCAAGCUUUUCUAAGUACAUGGGGGACACUGAGGCCUUGGGUCUGGGUUGGGAGUCAGGAGUUGGCUUCGUGGGGUAUGGACCGCGAGGGCUGCCCGAGGGCCCCCACCAAGAGCAGGUCUGGGGGCAGGGUCUGUCUGUCCUUCCUGGUAGAAGGCAGCACCUGCACAGCCUCAGCUGGUGACAAAGGGGCAGAAACGCUCUGGACGUGGACAGAGGGCACUGGCACAGCCGCUAAUGAAAGGCUGGGGCAGUGGGAGCUGAACCAUCCUGCGGCUUCCUCGAGGCGCGGCCGCUGUGACCGUGAUCGUGGUAAUAACACCAGUGCCCAUCGUGGGUGGUCAGGCUGCUGGUGUGGGAUGUCUGGACACUGAAUGGCCGGGAGCUCAGGAAGCCCCUCCCCACGCGAUCUCACUGAUGCUGCCCUGGCUGGCUGGGCUGGGGGAUUAUUACUUUAUUGUUUUUAAAGUGCCCUGUUGUUAUUUUUUGAUUACGGAAGCGAUCCAAGCUCACGAUAAAGACCUGUGAGCACUGAGUGGGUGGUGCUAUUAGCUUGGUUCAUGGUUCAUGGAUGGGGAGGUGACGCAGACUGUCGCAAUUCAUCAGUAUCAGCAGCAGGAUGACAAAAAAGAUUUAGUCACCGUCCUUUGGGACACAGCUGGGUAAGGCUGCUGGCAGACAGACAGGGUCUGCACCCCGGCCUCCCAACCUAAAGCUGACCAAAAAUGAGGGUAUUUUCUGCACAGUCCUGGGAGGUGAGGGCAGGAGUGGGGACUGAGAGCAGAUGCUGGCACAGUCCUCCAGCCGCUGGUGGCCACAGCCCACAGGGUGACUGCCCAUCUUGCUUCUCCAGCUGCUUCCUGCUGCCGGAUCUGGGGCUGGGCUGCUCUGAUACCCUGGUGCUUCCCGGGCUUAGGGGAGGCCACUGAGAGCUGGCGGGCGCGGGGUGACCCCUUUCAGCCACGUGCAGGCACCUGAAGACCUAGGCUGGGCUGCGUGCAUGAGGCUCCUCUGGGGAGCACGGAAGACAGGGGUCCUGCAGAGGAACUCUGUGCUGUGCAUUUCUGUGGCCCUGAUUUUAGUGACGAGCCCCUUAGCCCAAACCAGAGCAUCAUGUCCUGAGGAACACAGAUCACCUAAUUCAUUCUCAUGAAGUCUCACCGUGAGUUGCUGAUGUGGCCGUCACAACUCCAUUUUACAGAUACGGAAACUGAGGCUUGGGGGACGAUGUUCACAUGUCCAAAGCCACACAGUACUAAGUGGCUGAAUUUGAUUAGAACCAUUCCAAGCCCUUCCCCCAUCUCCCAGCUCCCCGCCCACACUCGGCUCUCCAGGCCCUGAUGCUAUAGACACGAUGCUGCCGCCCAUCUUCGGGGAGCAGGGGCUCCCAGAGCCCAGCGGUGACCAGGCAGCAGGUGUGACCUCCUGGGAGGCCAACCUUGGAACUUGUUUUUCUUGGCGCCCUCCUGGGGACUGCAUUCCACCGACCCCAAAACACAUUUUCCCCAGGUCUAGGUGUGAAACUUCGGGGGCGAGGGUGGCCAGAUCUGGGGAACCUCCCAGAGCCCCUGGGGUGACCUGGGAAGCUGGGCUUGUGUCUGGAUGCUGCGUCCCCAGGAUCUCGCCCAGAGCAGGCCUUCUGUGUUUGCCAACUGUGCCCCGGGGACAGGUAGCUCAUGGGUACACUUGGCUUAGAGACGCCUGGGCCUGGUUUGGGCUGAGAGUAGUGAAUGCGAAAGGAUAUCAGAAAGGGGCGGGUGCUGAGAAGGGGCAGGGCCAAGUGUAGAAUGCUGGUGGGCGCUGCAAUCAACGCUGGUGCCUAAGGGGUCCGCUAGGAGGGUCUCAAGUUCAGAACACCUUGCAGGGGGGUUGCAGGGGCGUGAAAAAGCCUCCAAGUCACCUGUUUCCUGUGACUUCAUUGGUGUUGGGGUGCAGGUUAUCCAGCCUCCUUUAGUUCUGCUGCGUGUUUUACUGUUUGGCUAAUCUAUCUUGGUCUGACAAACUUUCUUUUUGGAAGUAAAUGUUUAUUCGUGUGUGUUUGACCUGAAAAAUACUAUUGCUGGGUUUUCUGGCACCUCCAAACAUUUAGGAGACACAUGUGGAAGCCGAGCUGGGCAUCAAGUCUGCCUGCAGUGUCCCUCGGGGCUGGGAGCCUCUCCAGGUCAGGUCAGGCCCACCUUGGAACCGCCUCUGACCCAGAGUCCAGGCUGAGGCCAGCAUAGAGGCAGCAGCACCUGCUUGUUGAGUGAAUAACCGACCUGGCUGGGGGACAGUUCCCGGAACAGAGGUGCCAAGAAGGUGAGAGAAGCCAGGCAGGAGGGCAGGGCUGCGUUAGGCUCUCAGGGUGUAAUUCUUCUUGCCCUUGCAAGGAGGGUGCAAUUCACAUUUUUAUUUAUUUGAAAUCACACAGUAAUUCUUUUUUUUAAAAAAGUAAUUAAUUAAUUAAUUAAUUUUUGGCUGUGUUGGUUCUCUGUUGCUGCGCACAGGCUUUCUCUAGUUGCAGCGAGCGCAGGCUACUCUUCGUUGCGGUGCGCGGGCUUAUUAUUGCAGGGGCUUCUCUUGUUGCAGAGCACGGGCUCUAGGUGCACGGGCUUCAGUAGUUGUGGCACGCAGGCUCAGUAGUUGUGGUGCACGGGCUUAGUUGCUCUGCAGCAUAUGGGACCUUCCCGGACCAGGGCUCGAACCUGUGUCCCCUGCGUUGGCAGGUGGAUUCUUAACCACUGUGCCACCAGGAAAGUCCCACACACAGUUAAUUCUUGAACACAGUCUCAUAUAAAUCACAGUGUUACCAAUAAAAUCCAAAUCCAUCUUGCUCAAGCCCCUUUAUUGUGCCCCCCGACUCCUGGUAUAUCCCGUUUUGUUUCGGCGCCUAGUUUGCCAGAUUUUUACUGAUAUACAAGCUCGUGCCUAUGUAAACACAUAGUUUGAGUGUUGUGCCUGUGUGUGUGUUUAAACUCAAAGGGUGUCGCUCUGUAUGUAUCAUGCUGUAAACUGCUUUUCCCUUGAGCUGACUAAAUCUUGGAGAUCCUGUCAGUGUGCAUAGAUCUUCCUUAUGACCUGCGUCUGCUGCGGAGGACCCAAGGCUACAGCAAUGGCCCCCACAGGAGUCAGCAUGCCCAUUUUAUGGAUGAGGAAGUUGAGGCUCAGAGAGGUUGGGUGACUUGCCCAGCGUCACCUCCAGCUGUUUGAGGGUUGGGCCUGGCAGGGACUGGGAGAGGGGCAGGUGGGACUGCUGAGUGUGGAGCACAAAGGAGUGGCAGGUGAAGGGGACCCCAAGGGCAGAGUCCAGAUGCCCGAGGGAGGAAAUCAAUCAGGGCCUCUGGGAGUCUCAGCGAUUCCGGAUGGAUCAGGCAGGAAGCUGGCCCUCCGCUGGAAGCCGAAGAAUUCUGCAGGCCCCGCCCGGCCACACGCUCGCUCUCCCUUCCGGGGCCUGACUCCCCUGAGACUGUGUGGCCGGGGCGCUCAGGGCUGAGCGAUGACCGAGUGGGCCCUGUCCUCCAGGACACAUGGCCUGGGCCCACUGCCAUGCCAGGCGGGCCCAGGGGCAGGGGCAGGUACUGCCCACGUCUGUCCCCCACAUCCCCAGGACACCAGCCCUGGAUGUACUCUGCCAGGUGCUCAUUCCCCAGGACUUAUGUCAGGGUGAGGCACGUGCCGGAAAGACCAGGCCACCCGGGCGGGCCCAGGGUGUGACCUGCAGUGCUUCCCACAAAGGCUGAGCCAGCCAAGGUGCUGAUUGGGGCAGGCUUCCUGAAGAGGUGGAAGGACGCAGGGAAGUGGCCUCCAGCCUCCUCAACGCGCUGCUUCCUCCUGACUCACUGCUGGCCUGCCCACCUGUGGCGGGAAGUCACCAAACCUUCCCAGACUUAGGAGCACCUGCCGGGAGAUGGACCUUGCCCCACGCUCCCUACAUGCGCCUGCCUCAGCUGACCCACUUCCCAGGCAUUUGGCUGAAAGAGGCCAAGGCAAUCCCGAGGGGUGGGGUGGGUGCGGCCGGGGUGUGUCCAUGGUGCCAGCACCCAUGCAGCAUUUUCGGCCUGGUUUCCCAGGGCUGUGCCCCACCUGACCACGUUGUGCCUGUCCCCUUAGAAGCCACUGGCUUAUUCACAAGGCCACUUGUGCCCAGCAGCUCAGGGGCAUCGCUGCCAGCAGGCUGUCAGUCGGGGCCUUCCCACAAGAGUCCCAGGGAGGAGCGUCCCUGGGCUUGGUCUGCAGGUUCUGUGCACCCCAGGCCCUGCUGCUCUCCUGGCUGUAUGACUUGGACCAGCUACCUCUGGCCCUUCAGGCUUCCUGACUUACAGUGGAGACCCUCAGAUUCCAUCCCACACACCGUUACCUGGAUCAGACAGAGCCCGGUGUUCAGGAGGAACAGAGCAAGCUGACCACAGGCUGCUGCAUCAGGGGUCCUCCACAGGCCACUCUGAAGAACACUGACGAAGCAUGGAUGGGCACGAUGUGUGGACCUCAGGAUAAAGGGCCUCCGUGGAGCUCCACCUGGAAACUGGCUGCUCCUGCCCACGGUGCUGACUCAUCCUCUGGAGGGAGAAGAGAACAAAAGCUUCUCGGAGAAAAUGUGAUCCCUGCUUUAGAAUGGAACCCUGCUCCCAGCUCCAAUGCCAGCUCUCACUGGGGCUGUACGACGCUUUCACGCCAGUUCCCCGUUGAGCCAACAACCGUGAGGCAGUCAGUGAGCCUGAUAAAUGGGUUUUAUCCCCAUUUUACAACAGAAGAAACCAAGGCUCAGAGACUCCACCCAAAAGUGGCAGCCAUUUGUCAGGCACCAACCAUGGCGAGAGACCAGGACCAAGACCUGGGCCACCAUUUCUAUUCCACAGGCAGACCCCCGUCACCUGCAAAGCACCAGAUUUCAAACUGGACUCAAUUCCACCCCUACGCUUACUGCUUUAGAAUCUAUUUUUUAAAUGCAAUUUUAGGGGUUUUGGUAAUCGCCUUAAAUGGAGAAAAACAUUAUGCAGCAUUCACUUGAUAUUAGCCAAACUACAAGAAGUAUCAAUUGAUUUAAAAAAAAAAAAUUUAUGUACCUUGCCUUAGAAGUGAUUUCUGGAUAAAAUUUUCUAGAGCUUAUAAUUCCAUCCACGAUGUGAUCUAAUAUUGCCUAUUUCUAAAGCAUUUUACAUAACUUUGCUGUAUACCUGAAACUAACAUAACAUUGUAAAUCAAGUAUACUCCAAUAAAAUUUUUUUUAAAAAGG